rnacentral:rRNA from 1 species
UGUUGGGAUACUACCCUUGUUUGAAGGAUGCUCUAACCUCGACCUGUAAGCCAGGCCAGGGACAGUGUCAGGUGGGCAGUUUGACUGGGGCGGUCGCCUCCUAAAGUGUAACGGAGGCGCUCAAAGGUUCCCUCAGAAUGGUUGGAAAUCAUUCGCAGAGUGUAAAGGUAUAAGGGAGCUUGACUGCGAGAGAGACAACUCGAGCAGGUAGGAAACUAGGACUUAGUGAUCUGG